CUUCUGACAGCACCCCAAGACUGAGGUCCAGCCUGUCUCCGCAGGCAGGCCUGGCCGGUGUCCGAGGGUCAGAGGGAGCCCAUGGAGGAGGGCGCCCAGCACCCCUGUGGGUGAGAGUUGGGGGGCAGGUACUGUUACUAGUGAGCCGUCUGGUCAUUCAGUGAUUUCACCCCACUUUGGAGAUGAGCAGCAGUCCCAGCACUCAAGGUCCCUCAAGUCUGAGUGCCCAAGCCCAGCCUGACUGGGGCGGUCAGAAUCAUGGCUGUUCACGUCGCCUGAGCGCACGCUGAGACCUGGCCCUGUGCUGGGCUCCCCCAGACAGGGACCUCCUGAGUCCAAGCACUUUGGGUGUCUUCCUGUCCCUUUAAUCCCCAUCACCCGCUCCCCAGGUCAGAGUCACUGAUCCCGUUUUCAGCGGAGGACACUGAGGCUCAGAGAGUCAGCACACGACCUGGCCUGUCACGGGCUGUGGCGUGGCCCCGCCGGGGGUUUGAGUUCAGGCCCAUCUGGCCCCAAAGGCUGUCCUUGCACAGGAGCCUGAGGCUCUGAGCCCGGCCUUGGAGCCCGUACAGCAUGGAUCCCAGAGAACACCCCAGGGAUGCGGAGGCGGCCUCUGUCUCCUCCCGUGGUCACUGGAGGCUGUGCAGUCUUCCUCCUCCUCUCAGGGAGGGGCCUGCUGCCCGCAGGGCCCAGAGGGGGCUUCUCGUCAAAGCCGUUCGGGUGCUGUCUGGACCAGAGAGGUCCGAGUGAGGGGCCGAGGGGAUCAGCAGGGCACUCUGGCCCUUUUCGCUCUUCUGAUGUCCACGCUGACGUGGAUGCAGGGGGUCCCUCACGUGCUGGUUGGAGAGCAGCGAGAAGCUGAUGUUGCAGACCCUGAGACCCAGCCCUCAUGUGCCGGAGGCUGCCAAGGGCAUGGGGAGCUGAAGCCGAGGGCUGUUGGAGGCCAAGGACCGUGGGGAUGCUGAGGAUGGAACGUCUACUCCUGGCCCCCGAGGAGUGGAGGAUCAGCAGAGCCCAGACCCCGCAGGGUGCCCUGUGCCAGCGUCCGGCUCCAGGGGCUUCUAGGAACUGGGGCGUCUUGGUCCCCUCUGGGUAUGGAGGGAGUGAGUGCCAUGACAGUCCAGCUAGACCCUAUAGGGUCAGAAGAGGAACUAAUGAUGUAAGCCUUGAAGUCUGCCCAAGAAUGAGGAAGAAGGUGGGGGUCUCCCCUGCCCACUUUUGUUUACAAAAAUAAAGCCCUCUCAGUCCUCAAGGCACAGCCUGCUCUCCUGUCCACUUGUAUGUCUCUCAAGCACGGAUGCUCAUAAACUCACUCUUUGCCUCCCACUUUGCCUCGCGUUCAGUUCUUUCUGUGAUGAGACAAAAAAACCAUGAGCUUCAGUAAGUCCUGACACCUGGUUAAUGGUUUCAGUGAAAAGACAGUGGGUUCAAGUUCCCUCCUAAGUCAGGGAUUGUGGGUUUAAGUUCCACCUGAGUUGCGGGUGGGUUGAGUCCCACGCGAGGAGUGCAGUUUCAGUACUUUCUAAAGAUACACUUACUCUUUCCCUGCACUUCUGCUCAGACAUGCUACCCAGCACAGGUGCAGUAUUUCACCAUUACAUUUCCUCUGGCUGCUAUAGGAAAGCCCACUCUGUACAAUAAGAGAUACUUUCAACAUUGCAGAAAUAUAAAUUUUUAGUAACUUCAAGUUUGGCUGUAAAACAAGGUUACAUUUUACAUGUGCAUUAAUGGCUUGAAAAAAAUGAUUUUGGAGCCUAAUUUUAUUAAGAGCAGGGAUAGCUUCCAAAGAGACCUGAGGCUCCUAUGCAAUGGACAAGUCCGUCUCUGGUGGGUGGAAGGAUAUGAACAAGGCUGACGGGGCAUUUGAACCAUGCAGUAAAUGAAAAAGCUUCUGCCUCAGGCAGAGAAAAUGUUCUCAGAAUAUGAUGUAGAU